AUUGAACGCUGGCGGCAGGCUUAACACAUGCAAGUCCAACGAGUGGCGGACGGGUGAGUAAUGCUUGGGAAUCUAGCUUAUGGAGGGGGGUAACUACGGGAAACUGUAGCUAAUACCGCGUACCAUAGGAUGAGCCCAAGUGGGCUUGGGUAGUUGGUGAGGCAAAGGCGCACCAAGCCGACGAUCUCUAGCUGGUAUGAGCGGAUGACCAACCACACUGGUACUGAGGCACGGCCCAGACUCCUACGGUAGGCAGCAGUUGGGAGUAUUGCGCAAUGGGGAUAGCCUAACACAGCCAUGCCGCGUGAAUGAAGAAGGCCGUCGGGUUGUAAAGUUCUUUCAGUAGCGAGGCGUUAACUACAGGAGAAGCACCGACUAACUCCGUGCCAGGAGCCGCGGUAAUAC
rnacentral:rRNA from 1 species